AUGGUAAUUUUCCCUUUUCAGGUGUUCAGAGCUGACAGUGCUGCAGAUGUGCAUGAAGUGGUGCUUCCAGCCCCUGGCCAAUGCAAUCCCAGUGCCCAGUAAUCCCCAGGAAUCCCCACUGUCUGCCCCUGAAUGGGAGCUUCAUCCCCUCAGUGAAACACUCUUCCCCAGGUGCAAUGACUGAGAGGAUGAAGGAAGUGCUCCAGAUGGGGGACCCAUAAGAGCUGUGGGAACAGAGGAGACAUCACCCCAUCCCUGUGCACAGAGCUCCAGCUCACAGCUCCACUGGCCCUGUGCAGCCCAGCUGUGUGUACUGCAUCGUGAGCAGGUGGGUGUGAAGUGUUCUCAUUGCUGCAGGGUUAUCCAGGUCUCUUUGCCCUCAGGAUUUGAUCAC
rnacentral:lncRNA from 1 species